UUCCCAUUUUCUAGCUGGAAGUUGGAGGGAUUUGAAACUCAUCCAGGGAUUUGAAACUUCAGCAGUUUCUCUUCUGAUAUACUCAAACCAGGCAAAGGAAAUUUUCAGGCUGUAUUAUGACCUUAAUACUUCCAUGCAGCCCAUUAUCUGCUCAUUAUUGAGCUAUAAUAAACAUGGAGUCCUUGAAGUACUUUUUUCUUCUCAAAUCACUUUAAGAAAGAACACUCGCAAUAUCGAAUCAAGGACAUAUUGUCAAACGGAAUCAUUUCAGGAUGAGAUCACUCAAGUGCAUAUAAAUAGCACAGACAAGACCUAAACCUGAGGCCCCACCACAGGAUGGCAGUGGGCCUACUGUAGCUGAUGGGUGGCUGAAGCAAGAAUAUCCCGGGCAGCUAAUAAAAAGCUCAUGUUUGCAACCAAGUCCAUUCCCCAGGGAGCAAGCAGCCCCACCAGGAGAAGAGCAGGAGCUGGCAGGUGUUUCCAGGGAACAGAUCAGGUGCCAUGGCGCACACAGCUCUCACCAGUGACAGACUCUUUUUCAACAGUCCUUCCCUCCAUCUACAAAUACGAGGCUGUGUCCUUCAAAAAUCUCUUUCAUUUUAAUUACCUCAUUCAUUCAGCUCAUGGCUGUGUCCCCAAGCCCUCCUGUGCCUCUGCAGCUCCAUGGAGAGCAGGGCACCCACCGCACACACUCCACCCUGCCUCUGGCGGCAAAGCCAAGGAGCAAGCUCUGCAGAAGCAGGCCUGUGAGGGUGUCCACAGGGUGUGGGCUGUGUGUGCUCAUCCUUCUGUGAGUGUGAGACCUCAGCUGAUGUUAGGAAAAGGAGAGAAAUACAGACAGCCUGUGGUGAAUGAGUGUUUGGUUUUUAGUGUGUGCACAAUUACUUAAAAAGAAAAAAAGUGUUUAGGGGAUCCCUGUUUGACAUGUGGGUUUACACCAUUGGUGAGUAAAUUCAAUGUCAGGUGAUAACCUUCCUCAUGAUUCCAGUCUCUGUUCAUACAACUCUAGCUGACGUUGCUGGAUGCUGCAGAAGGGGGAUCUCUGCAUCUGUCUCUGAGUGACAGCUGUAAGCUCGGUUAUCACUCAGUCAGGGAAUAUGUGGAUGUUUUGGAGAACAAGGGCCCCCAGACACAUGUGAAGGAACUGCACUGACCCUGCCUGCCAAACCAAGAGGCCCCUCAAGGUUGAAGCAUGCCCCCAAACUCUUUAGGACCGUGGCCAGCAGCAGGACAACCCAUUGUACACGGCUGUGUAAGAGCAUGCAGGGUGCAGGACCUGGUCCAGCUGUAGGUUCCCACUGAGGGAGAGGGGACAGACCCAGGGUCAACUUGUCAGGGCUGGCUGCCCAGAGAGGAGGGCAGGAGAGUGCCAGGUUCCUCAA